rnacentral:rRNA from 1 species
UACGUAGGGUGCGAGCGUUGUCCGGAAUUAUUGGGCGUAAAGGGCUCGUAGGCGGUUUGUCGCGUCGGGAGUGAAAACAUCGGGCUUAACUCGAUGCUUGCUUUCGAUACGGGCAGACUUGAGGUAUGCAGGGGAGAAUGGAAUUCCUGGUGUAGCGGUGAAAUGCGCAGAUAUCAGGAAGAACACCGGUGGCGAAGGCGGGUCUCUGGGCCACUACUGACGCUGAGGAGCGAAAGCGUGGGGAGCGAACAGG